rnacentral:rRNA from 1 species
UACGUAGGGGGCAAGCGUUGUUCGGAUUUACUGGGCGUAAAGGGCGCGUAGGCGGCGUGGUAAGUCACUUGUGAAAUCUCCGAGCUUAACUCGGAACGGUCAAGUGAUACUGCUGUGCUAGAGUACAGAAAGGGCAAUCGGAAUUCUUGGUGUAGCGGUGAAAUGCGUAGAUAUCAAGAGGAACACCUGAGGCGAAGGCGGGUUGCUAGGCUGACACUGACGCUGAUGCGCGAAAGCUAGGGUAGCAAACGGG